UGUUUUCAGCGCAGUUUUGUGUCGGUCGUUGGUUGAGUCGGGCGUGUUUCUCGCGGCUGUUAUCAUUUUAUUUUGAGUUUGUAAUUGAGUAAAUCGCGUUUCUUUUUCAAUUGUUCAUCGACUGCAUUUAGCCAUUACUGACGUGUUUAGUGUUUUAUUACAAAAUCGGCAAUUUUCUUUGCAUUCCUUGCAAGAUGGCCGCGUGCUAUCAACUUGUUUACACUGCACGUUCGCAAGAUACAGGUGCCUAGCGGGCGAACGAAAUGUCCUAGGGCAACGAUUCUUUUAUCAGAUAGUGUCUCGCGGGCAAACGAGAUAUCCUAGGUCAGCGAUUCUUUCAUCAGAUUGUAAGUAUUAAAUUUAUUUAUAAUUUUCAUAAAUAAUUUGUUUUAUUAUCACAAGGGAAACCCGCAUAAAUGUCAUUUUUGUGUUUUGAUGUGCUAAUUUUUGGUUGUUUUCGGUGUCUCACCGGCAAACGAAAUAUCCUAGGACAGCGAUUCUUUCAUCAGAUUAUAAGUAUUAAAUUUGUUAAUCAUUACCAUAUAUAAUUUGUAUGAUUAGCACACGGAAAACCUGCAAAAAGGUCAUUUUUGUGUAACGAUGUGCUAAUUUUUUGUUGUUUUGAUGUCUAGCAGGCGAUCAGAAUGUCCUUGGACAACGAUUCUUUCAACAGAUUGUGUCUAGCAGGCGAACAGAAUGACGUACGACAACGAUUGUUUUAUCAGAUUAUAAGUAUUGAAUUUUUUAUCAUUUUCAUAAGUAAUUUGUGUGAUUAGCACACGGGAAACCUGCAAAAAUGUCAUUUUUGUGCUUCGAUGUGCUAUUUUUUUGUUUUAGGUGUCUAGCAGGCGAACAGAAUGUCGUACGACAACGAUUGUUUUAUCAGAUUGUGUCUAACGGGCGGACAAAAUGUCCUUGGACACCGAUUUUUUCAUCAAGUUGUAAGUAUUAAAUUUGUUUAUCAUUUUCGUAAAUUUUCAUUCUUCAUACCGUGUAAAGUGAUUUAAAUUAGUUUUUUUAAUAUAAGUAGAUGCUUUACAGAUUUCUGAGUGAUUUAUUUCAAAGUCCCAAAACUAGAUGGCUCUAGUAGGCGAUGUUUAACUUUAUUUUGUUUCGCCGCGGUCAGAUGGCGCUUUCAUCGAUUUGGGUUAAAUUUAUUCUUAAUUUUUGUUGUUGUUUUAUGCACAACUUUUAGGUUUAACAAAACAUGAAAUAAUAAAAUUUGCAUAAUUAGGCAGUUGACUCUAAUUUUCGGUUGUUUAUGUGUCUAGCGGGCAAAGCCGAUGUCGUAGGACAAGCAUUAGUUCAUGUGAUUCUAAGUGUUCUAGUUGUUUACCAUUGUCAAAAUUCAACACUUGUGUUUAAUACUAGGGAAAGCCUAGAAACUGCUAUUUGAUAAUUAAAAACCUUUUUGCCAAAUAUAUUUUUUUGUAAACUUCACCUCAUAACUUGAUAACAUGCAAUAUAUUUGUAGUCACA